AGCGGGAGGCGCGGGCCCAGGGGCCCCUUUUUCUCGUCUGGCUGCAGAGCGGCGCGAAAAUAUAUAAAGAGAUUGUGGCAUGAAAGGAGGCUUGAUCCUGAAAAUGAGACACAGGGGGGGCAAAUGUGAAUACUGCAAACGCAGGAGGUUUUUUCCUAGAGCUGAGAAGAAUCAAAAGAUCCCAUGGUCCAAGAAGUCUGCAUCCUAGAUGUGAGUUGCUCUUGAGGAGGACAGCACUAAUUUCCUUUGAAAUGGUAUAACAUAAAUGCUGUUGAAGGCAGACAGCAAUCCAAAUAUGGACUACACCUUUCUGGGGGACUCAUCCAUGGUUCUGACUUUCAGCCAUUGAAAAUACCAACCUUUUAAAAGCCACAAUCAGAGGUGUCAAACCAGACGUGCUUGAGGAGCAGUAUGAUGUACCUUCCUGGGCUACGGAAGUAUUGCAAUGUCUAGCACUAUAUGAGGACGGCAUUUAUCUAAUAUGCUGGGGCACUUUGUUUGCAGAUGAUGCCUGUAGGUUUGUGUUUUCUAACAAACCUGGCAGCAGCAAAAGAAACCAUUUGGGGUCUUUGCACUUGAAGUUUGCUAGAUAUAUCUUGAGCCUCUACCAUGCACUGCCUCAAAGUCACUGCAAGCACUACAGACAGUGAAUGUGAAUAUAAUAUGCGGUGAUGUAAAUAUAUUCUUUGCAACUCUAAAUGUUCUCAGUAACCUGUUUAGCCAAGGUGCCAAUAAAGAAUAAAUAGCUAUUCUGAUCUUCACAUUGCUUCUCUGAGUGUUCCUGAUAAUGCUCUAUGCAUGUAUUUUCCAGGCAUUUUCAGAUUAGCAAAUGGAUAGUGAAACCAUAAAGAGACUAGUUUAAACUGACUUUCUUCCUGCCUUGGGGUGGGGGCAUCAUUUAAGUGUCAGUCUAAAGAGAAAAGGGCCUACCCAAUUGUCUAAAGUGAAUUAUAUUGAUGUAUUCACAGUACCAUAAGUAAUAUCCAUUUGAACCAUUCCAAUUUUUUUUAUUUUUAAAUUGCAUUCAAAAAAUUAUUUAAAUUCACUUCUGAUUCAACUGGCAAAAGAUGGAAAAUCUGGCACUUAACUAGGCAGAAUCCUUAAAAACUCUUCAACUGAGUGCCCUUUUAAUGCAAUAGCAUGCAUCACGUUCGGAUUGCUGGCCUUGCCUUUGCAAUUCUAGGCCCCUUUCUUUUCCUUUUUUCUACCCACUGUAGUUGUAUAGUAUUUAACAAGUCAGAGUAACUUCUAUGGACAUAACACAAUUAAUCUGAAACCCCAAACAAACAAAAUACCCCCCCCCACAAAAGAUGCUUAGCCUUCUGGUGUAUGAAUUACUGUGGUGCAAAGCUGGCCUGGCUCUGGGAAAGCAAGUUAGACUGGCUGCAAGCUAGAUUUAAAGCAUUUGUUGCCACUAAAACAUUUUCCCCAUAAAUAACAGUUGAGUGGUGAUGAUGAUCUUAUAGAACUAAUAGAAGGGACUGAUAUCUCCACUCCAAAGGGCUCAUAACUUUACAGCUAUGACAUUAAAGAUUGCUUUCAGAGGCCAUAUAUCCCAUGGGACAGAAUUUUUUUUCUAGUGAUUGUACUUCAGAUGUGCUUAACUUCACGAAGCUACUGUCGGAUCACCAGCAUGCAGUCUAGCAGAAUGGAUAAAAUCGUGCAGGGAAUGGAGAACCAACAAUAGUUUACAUAAACUAAACACCCCGCUCAAUCCAUGUGUUCAGAGCAUCUUGAAUGCUAAAGGAUUAUUAUAAGUAAAUACAAAUGGAAACAAAGGGUCAGUCCUUCAAUAGCAAGUAGUGUUCAGACAGCCAAAUGAGAUUUGUUUUUGUUGCUUACUGAAAAAUUGUCUGAAAUUCCUUUAUUUUUAUUUUGGUGCAGAGGAAGAGCAGUGGAUUAAUGGGGGAUUAGCCUUUUACCUUUCCAGUCAAAUCCUGUCAAUUUUAAAAGUGCCGAUUAAACCAAGGGGUGGAUUUGGACCUGAACUGGUGUCUGAGCACUGUUUUUUCUCUUGAUAUGGGGAAUACAGUAUACCAUGUAGCAUAUAUGCCACUGUGUUAAUUUGGUUUGUGUCUGCCUGGGGUCUUUCUGUAUUUGUAUAGGUCUGUUUUAUCCUUAUGUUAUAGCCAUCAGUGUUUUCCUUUAACUGUAAUCAUUUUCAUACAUUAUUAAACAAUGUAAAUGGGUAA